rnacentral:rRNA from 1 species
AACGAACGCUGGCGGCAGGCUUAACACAUGCAAGUCGAACGCCCCGCAAGGGGAGUGGCAGACGGGUGAGUAACGCGUGGGAAUCUACCGUGCCCUGCGGGAUAGCUCUGGGAAACUGGAAUUAAUACCGCAUACGCCCUACGGGGGAAAGAUUUAUCGGGGUAUGAUGAGCCCGCGUUGGAUUAGCUAGUUGGUGGGGU